rnacentral:rRNA from 1 species
AGUUGCCAGCGAUUCGGUCGGGGACUCUAGAGAUACUGCCCCGGUUAACGGGAGGAAGGUGGGGAUGACGUCAAGUCCUCAUGGCCCUUAUGCCCAGGGCUACACGCGUGCUACAAUGGGCGGUACAAAGGGUAGCGAUGCCGCGAGGUGAAGCCAAUCCCAAAAAGCCGUCCACAGUUCGGAUUGGAGUCUGCAACUCGACUCCAUGAAGCCGGAAUCGCUAGUAAUCGUGGAUCAGCAUGCCACGGUGAAUACGUUCCCGGGCCUU